UACGAAGGGGGCUAGCGUUGCUCGGAAUCACUGGGCGUAAAGGGCGCGUUAGGCGGACUUUUAAGUCAGGGGUGAAAUCCUGAGGCUCAACCUCAGAACUGCCUUUGAUACUGAGGGUCUCGAGACCGGUAGAGGUAAGUGGAACUGCGAGUGUAGAGGUGAAAUUCGUAGAUAUUCGCAAGAACACCAGUGGCGAAGGCGGCUUACUGGACCGGUUCUGACGCGUGAGGCGCGAAAGCGUGGGGAGCAAACAGG
rnacentral:rRNA from 1 species